CUUCGGCCCGAGUUGUAAUUUGCAGAGGAUGUUUUUGGCGCGGUGCCUUCCGAGUUCCCUGGAACGGGACGCCACAGAGGGUGAGAGCCCCGUAUGGUUGGACACCAAGCCUGUGUAAAACUCCUUCGACGAGUCGAGUAGUUUGGGAAUGCUGCUCUAAAUGGGAGGUAAAUCUCUUCUAAAGCUAAAUACCGGCCAGAGACCGAUAGCGCACAAGUAGAGUGAUCGAAAGAUGAAAAGCACCUUGAAAAGGGGGUUAAACAGUACGUGAAAUUGUUGAAAGGGAAGCGCUCAUGACCAGACUUGUGCCGUGCGGCUCAUCCGGGGUUCUCCCCGGUGCACUCCGCACGGCUCAGGCCAGCAUCGGUUCUCGUUGGGGGAUAAGAACAGUAGGAACGUGGCCCCUCUCGGGGGGUGUUAUAGCCUAUUGUACGAUACCCUGGCGGGGACCGAGGACCGCGCUUCGGCAAGGAUGCUGGCGUAAUGGUCAUCAGCGACCCGUCUUGAAACACGGACCAAGGAGUCGUCCAUUAGAGCGAGCGUUUGGGUGUAAAACCCGCACGCGUAAUGAAAGUGAAAUUAGGUGAGAGCUUCGGCGCAUCAUCGACCGAUCCUGAUGUUCUCGGAUGGAUUUGAGUAAGAGUUUUAACGGACGGACCCGAAAGACAGUGAACUAUGCUUGUAUAGGGUGAAGCCAGAGGAAACUCUGGUGGAGGCUCGCAGCGGUUCUGACGUGCAAAUCGAUCGUCAAAUAUGAGCAUGGGGGCGAAAGACUAAUCGAACUGUCUAGUAGCUGGUUACCGCCGAAGUUUCCCUCAGGAUAGCAGUGUUGACCUUCAGUUUUAUGAGGUAAAGCGAAUGAUUAGGGACUCGGGGGCGCUUAUUAGCCUUCAUCCAUUCUCAAACUUUAAAUAUGUAAGAAGCCCUUGUUACUUAAUUGAACGUGGGCAUUCGAAUGUACCAACACUAGUGGGCCAUUUUUGGUAAGCAGAACUGGCGAUGCGGGAUGAACCGAACGCGGGGUUAAGGCGCCAGAGUGUACGCUCAUCAGACACCACAAAAGGCGUUAGUACAUCUUGACAGCAGGACGGUGGCCAUGGAAGUCGGAAUCCGCUAAGGACUGUGUAACAACUCACCUGCCGAAUGUACUAGCCCUGAAAAUGGAUGGCGCUCAAGCGUACCGCCCAUACCCCGCCUUCAGGGUAGAAACGAUGCC
rnacentral:rRNA from 1 species